GAUAAACGCUGGCGGCGUGCCUAAUACAUGCCAGUCGAGCGAACGGACGAGAAGCUUGCUUUUCUGAUGUUAGCGGCGGACGGGUGAGUAACACGUGGAUAACCUACCUAUAAGACUGGGAUAACUUCGGGAAACCGGAGCUAAUACCGGAUAAUAUUUUGAACCGCAUGGUUCAAAAGUGAAAGACGGUCUUGCUGUCACUUAUAGAUGGAUCCGCGCUGCAUUAGCUAGUUGGUAAGGUAACGGCUUACCAAGGCAACGAUGCAUAGCCGACCUGAGAGGGUGAUCGGCCACACUGGAACUGAGACACGGUCCAGACUCCUACGGGAGGCAGCAGUAGGGAAUCUUCCGCAAUGGGCGAAGGCCUGACGGAGCAACGCCGCGUGAGUGAUGAAGGUCUUCGGAUCGUAAAACUCUGUUAUUAGGGAAGAACAAAUGUGUAAGUAACUAUGCACGUCUUGACGGUACCUAAUCAGAAAGCCACGGCUAACUACGUG
rnacentral:rRNA from 1 species